rnacentral:rRNA from 1 species
CCAAACUGUUGCCUCGGCGGGAUCUCUGCCCCGGGUGCGUCGCAGCCCCGGACCAAGGCGCCCGCCGGAGGACCAACCAAAACUCUUAUUGUAUACCCCCUCGCGGGUUUUUUUAUAAUCUGAGCCUUCUCGGCGCCUCUCGUAGGCGUUUCGAAAAUGAAUCAAAACUUUCAACAACGGAUCUCUUGGUUCUGGCAUCGAUGAAGAACGCAGCGAAAUGCGAUAAGUAAUGUGAAUUGCAGAAUUCAGUGAAUCAUCGAAUCUUUGAACGCACAUUGCGCCCGCCAGUAUUCUGGCGGGCAUGCCUGUCCGAGCGUCAUUUCAACCCUCGAACCCCUCCGGGGGGUCGGCGUUGGGGAUCGGCCCUGCCUUGGCGGUGGCCGUCUCCGAAAUACAGUGGCGGUCUCGCCGCAGCCUCUCCUGCGCAGUAGUUUGCACACUCGCAUCGGGAGCGCGGCGCGUCCACAGCCGUUAAACACCCAACUUCUGAAAUGUUGACCUCGGAUCAGGUAGGAAUACCCGCUGAACUUAAGCAUAUCAUA